UCAAGCAACGUUAGUGCGCGCGCCGUUAUCGACAAUGCCCUCAUCUACCGAAAGUUGCGUCGAUCUGUUUGCAACGACAAGCAUUCUGAACAAGAGUAGACCAAUUGAGGCUGCCACAAGUGUCCUUGAAAAUGUAAAAAUACUUGCCAGUGGAAGCUGCUUGGGGAAUGUGGAGGCCAUGCGUUUUAUUCAGCUGUACGCAUUUCUGCUCAAUCUUUUUAAUGCUAUGAAAAUACACAAGAUAACACCUAUGAUGACACAGCAUAACACAUCCAGUUUCUUAUAUCUUUUGGCAUUGAGGAUAAAAGACGCCACCUAUGAAGAACUGUAUGUAAACGUGUCAGACUGAUACAACAUUAUUU
rnacentral:lncRNA from 1 species